rnacentral:rRNA from 2 species
GACGAACGUUGGCGGCGUGCCUAAUACAUGCAAGUCGAACGAAGUCGCCCAAUUGAUUCUUAGUGCUUGCAYUAAGAUGAUUUUGGAUCCGACUGAGUGGCGAACUGGUGAGUAACACGUGGGUAACCUGCCCAGAAGAAGGGGAUAACACCUGGAAACAGAUGCUAAUACCGUAUAACAACAAGAACCRCAUGGUUCUUGUUUGAAAGCUGGCCUUUGUGCUAGUGCUUCUGGAUGGACCCGCGGCGUAUUAGCUAGUUGGUGAGAUAAUAGCUCACCAAGGCAAUGAUACGUAGCAGACCUGAGAGGGUAAUCUGCCACAAUGGGACUGAGACACGGCCCAUACUCCUACGGGAGGCAGCAGUAGGGAAUCUUCCACAAUGGACGAAAGUCUGAUGGAGCAACGCCGCGUGAGUGAAGAAGGGUUUCGGCUCGUAAAACUCUGUUGUUAGAGAAGAACAGCCGUGAGAGCAACUGCUCACGGUAUGACGGUAUCUAACCAGAAAGUCACGGCUAACUACGUGCCAGCAGCCGCGGUAAUACGUAGGUGGCAAACGUUGUCCGGAUUUAUUGGGCGUAAAGGGAGCGCAGGCGGUUUAUUAAGUCUGAUGUGAAAGCCUUCGGCUUAACCGGAGAAGUGCAUCGGAAACUGAUAAACUUGAGUGCAGAAAAGGAUAGUGGAACUUCAUGUGUAGCGGUGAAAUGCGUAGAUAUAUGAAGGAACACCAGUGGCGAAGGCGGCUAUCUGGUCUGUAACUGACGCUGAGGCUCGAAAGCAUGGGUAGCAAACAGGAUUAGAUACCC